rnacentral:rRNA from 1 species
GACGAACGCUGGCGGCGUGCCUAAUACAUGCAAGUAGAACGCUGAAGAGAGGAGCUUGCUCUUCUUGGAUGAGUUGCGAACGGGUGAGUAACGCGUAGGUAACCUGCCUUGUAGCGGGGGAUAACUAUUGGAAACGAUAGCUAAUACCGCAUAACAAUGGAUGACACAUGUCAUUUAUUUGAAAGGGGCAAUUGCUCCACUACAAGAUGGACCUGCGUUGUAUUAGCUAGUAGGUGAGGUAACGGCUCACCUAGGCGACGAUACAUAGCCGACCUGAGAGGGUGAUCGGCCACACUGGGACUGAGACACGGCCCAGACUCCUACGGGAGGCAGCAGUAGGGAAUCUUCGGCAAUGGGGGCAACCCUGACCGAGCAACGCCGCGUGAGUGAAGAAGGUUUUCGGAUCGUAAAGCUCUGUUGUAAGUCAAGAACGAGUGUGAGAGUGGAAAGUUCACACUGUGACGGUAGCUUACCAGAAAGGGACGGCUAACUACGUGCCAGCAGCCGCGGUAAUACGUAGGUCCCGAGCGUUGUCCGGAUUUAUUGGGCGUAAAGCGAGCGCAGGCGGUUUGAUAAGUCUGAAGUUAAAGGCUGUGGCUCAACCAUAGUUCGCUUUGGAAACUGUCAAACUUGAGUGCAGAAGGGGGAGAGUGGAAUUCCAUGUGUAGCGGUGAAAUGCGUAGAUAUAUGGAGGAACACCGGUGGCGAAAGCGGCUCUCUGGUCUGUAACUGACGCUGAGGCUCGAAAGCGUGGGGGAGCGAACAGG